CAGGGACAGGAAGAAGACGAAUUGGACACUUUUCCUUUUCCAAUAUCCAAUCAAGACAGUGAUUGUGGUCAGCAUACAGCAGAGCACACAGCGGAGCAGUCUAUUCUCGCUCGACGCUCUCAGCGACAGAGGAGGAGACCUCUAUAUCUGCAGGAUUAUCAGCUGUGAAGCCGUAAACGUUAUGUGCACCGAGCUGUUAUGUUGGACUGAUUGCAUAUGGACAUAUUUGGGUGGAUAACGGGACUUAUAUAUGAGUGCAUAUGGAUA